AAUUGAAGGGGAAGUUAGUUGAUGUUGUCCCGAGACUGACAUCAUAGUCCCUGGGACAACUAGGCUGUCACCUGGCAGCAUUGGACUGGAGCUCCUUCAAGGCAGGAUUCCAUGAACAAUGGUUGGACAUAAGAAGACUUCCCAGGACUAUCGAUCAUCUGAAGCACUUUGUGAACUCCCUGCUGACCCAAAAGCGAAGGAUUCUCUGUGACAGACAAAUCAUUAAUUCGACUUCACUCUCCACAGACACCACCUGACCUGCUGCGUGCUUCCAGAACAUCCGGCAUUUAUUGGCCAUGCCAUCUUCUCGCAGCUCGCAGCAGGAGGUACAGAAGCCUGAAGUCCCACACCAGCAGGUUCAAGAACAGCUACAACCAUUCAGCUCUUGAACCAAGCUGCACAACCUCAGUAUAGCAACACUGUUUUGCACUUUACUCCUGCAAUGGAAUGGUCUGGCUGGGUGGCAUGCAAGCAAAGUCUUUUCACUCUAUCUUGGUACAUGUGACAAUAAUAA